GACGAACGCUGGCGGCGUGCUUAACACAUGCAAGUCGAACGGAAAGGCCCUGCUUUUGUGGGGUGCUCGAGAGGCGAACGGGUGAGUAACACGUGAGUAACCUGCCCUUGACUUUGGGAUAACUUCAGGAAACUGGGGCUAAUACCGGAUAGGAGCUCCUGCUGCAUGGUGGGGGUUGGAAAGUUUCGGCGGUUGGGGAUGGACUCGCGGCUUAUCAGCUUGUUGGUGGGGUAGUGGCUUACCAGGGCUUUGACGGGUAGCCGGCCUGAGAGGGUGACCGGCCACAUUGGGACUGAGAUACGGCCCAGACUCCUACGGGAGGCAGCAGUGGGGAAUAUUGCACAAUGGGCGGAAGCCUGAUGCAGCAACGCCGCGUGCGGGAUGACGGCCUUCGGGUUGUAAACCGCUUUCGCCUGUGACGAAGCGUGAGUGACGGUAAUGGGUAAAGAAGCACCGGCUAACUACGUG
rnacentral:rRNA from 1 species